rnacentral:rRNA from 1 species
CACCUCUAGCAUUUCCAGUAUUAGAGGCACUGCCUGCCCAGUGACAUCUGUUUAAACGGCCGCGGUAUCCUAACCGUGCAAAGGUAGCAUAAUCACUUGUUCCCUAAAUAGGGACUUGUAUGAAUGGCCACACGAGGGUUUUACUGUCUCUUACUUCCAAUCAGUGAAAUUGACCUUCCCGUGAAGAGGCGGGAAUGACUAAAUAAGACGAGAAGACCCUAUGGAGCUUUAAUUAACUGAUUCACAAAAAACAACACACAAACCUAACCUUCAGGGACAACAAAACUUUUGAUUGAAUCAGCAAUUUCGGUUGGGGUGACCUCGGAGAACAAAACAACCUCCGAGUGAUUUAAAUCCAGACUAACCAGUCAAAAUAUAUAACCACUUAUUGAUCCAAACCAUUGAUCAACGGAACAAGUUACCCUAGGGAUAACAGCGCAAUCCUAUUCCAGAGUCCAUAUCGACAAUUAGGGUUUACGACCUCGAUGUUGGAUCAAGACAUCCUAAUGGUGCAACCGCUAUUAAGGGUUCGUUUGUUCAACGAUUAAAGUCUU